CCUACGGGAGGCUGCAGUCGAGAAUCAUUCACAAUGGGGGAAACCCUGAUGGUGCGACGCCGCGUGGGGGAAUGAAGGUCUUCGGAUUGUAAACCCCUGUCAUGUGGGAGCAAAUUAAAAAGAUAGUACCACAAUAGGAAGAGACGGCUAACUCUGUGCGAGCAGACGCGGUAAUACAGAGGUCUCAAGCGUUGUUCGGAAUCACUGGGCGUAAAGCGUGCGUAGGCUGUUUCGUAAGUCGGGUGUGAAAGGCGCGGGCUCAACCCGCGGACGGCACAUGAUACUGCGAGACUAGAGUGAUGGAGGGGGAACCGGAAUUCUCGGUGUAGCAGUGAAAUGUGUAGAUAUCGAGAGGAACACUCGUGGCGAAGGCGGGUUCCUGGACAGUAACUGACGCUGAGGCACGAAGGCCAGGGGAGCGAAAGGGAUUAGAUACCCGAGUAGUC
rnacentral:rRNA from 1 species